AAUUUUGUUCGCCAAUAAAGGUGUACACCAACCAAGCCCGGAUUUGUCCCAAGGCGGGUCCUUCUGCAUUUGGUUGAAAAGGUUAUAUUAAUAAAUUUCAAGCGAACGCGGACGAAGAAAUCAAAAGGAGAAUGGAAGGCCUAAUUCCAAUAGUACUGAAAACCAUAAGGAAAAACACAACUCCUCGGCACCGCCGAUACGAAUCUCUGUCUUCUACUUCAAGAAGCUCCGAUUUCUUCAGAAAUGAAAAUGAUUAUUUGAGCAAUCGAUUCGCAAAACAGCCUGAAAUCGAAAAAGUUUCAAGUUUUCACCGGCGAUCGAAAUCUGUUCAUUUUGAUUAUUCUUCAGAAGAUGCUGCUAAGUCCAAGCAAUUCGUGAGACUGAGGAGCCACAGAAUGUUCUCAUGCGUUACU
rnacentral:lncRNA from 1 species